rnacentral:rRNA from 2 species
GCCUAGCCCUAAACCUUGGUAAUAUAUCACACACCCUACCCGCCUGGGAACUACGAGCACCAGCUUAAAACCCAAAGGACUUGGCGGUGCUUUAGACCCCCCUAGAGGAGCCUGUUCUAGAACCGAUAACCCCCGUUCAACCUCACCCUUCCUUGUUUAUCCCGCCUAUAUACCGCCGUCGUCAGCUUACCCUGUGAAGGCCUAAAAGUAAGCACAACUGGCACAACCCAAAACGUCAGGUCGAGGUGUAGCGUAUGGAGGGGGAAGAAAUGGGCUACAUUCCCUAUAUUAGGGAACACGAACGGCGCACUGAAACACGCGCCUGAAGGAGGAUUUAGUAGUAAGCGGAAAAUAGCGUGUUCCACUGAAAUCGGCCCUGAAGCGCGC